rnacentral:rRNA from 2 species
AGAGUUUGAUCCUGGCUCAGGACGAACGCUGGCGGCGUGCUUAACACAUGCAAGUCGAGCGGUAAGGCCCUUUUGGGGGUACACGAGCGGCGAACGGGUGAGUAACACGUGGGUGACCUGCCCUUAGCUCUGGGAUAAGCCUGGGAAACUGGGUCUAAUACUGGAUAUGACUCCAUGUCGCAUGGUGUGGGGUGGAAAGCCUUGUGCGGCUAGGGAUGGGCCCGCGGCCUAUCAGCUUGUUGGUGGGGUGAUGGCCUACCAAGGCGACGACGGGUAGCCGGCCUGAGAGGGCGAUCGGCCACACUGGGACUGAGACACGGCCCAGACUCCUACGGGAGGCAGCAGUGGGGAAUUCUGCGCAAUGGGCGGAAGCCUGACGCAGCGACGCCGCGUGAGGGAUGACGGCCUUCGGGUUGUAAACCUCUUUCAGCCCUGACGAAGCCCUCUUGGGGGUGACGGUAGGGGUAGAAGAAGCACCGGCCAACUACGUGCCAGCAGCCGCGGUAAU